UACGUAGGUGGCGAGCGUUGUCCGGAUUUACGGGGCGUAAAGGGCGUGCAGGCGGCUUGUUAAGUGCAGGGUGAAAGCUCCCGGCUCAACUGGGAGAGGUCCUUGCAUACUGGCGAACUCGAGGGAGGCAGAGGAAAGUGGAAUUCCCGGUGUAGUGGUGAUAUGCGUAGAUAUCGGGAGGAACACCUGUGGCGAAGGCGGCUUUCUGGGCCUUACCUGACGCUGAGACGCGAAAGCGUGGGGAGCGAACCGG
rnacentral:rRNA from 1 species